UUCAUAAUUUGUUCUAGGGCUAUGGAGGUGCCCGUAAAGGACUCUCAUUCCUAUUGCAAGACAAAGAAAAUGCAAUCCAAUGCAAUGUUUCAAUCAUGGAGUCUUUAUUGGACACAGGCUGGCAUGAGUUGACGGCACGUGAAAAUCAGCAAGCUACAAAUGCUCACAGGAAGAACAGCAGCUUCAGUCCCUAAACCUUGGUGCAGCUGAGUUUAUUAGAGAUUUUCCAGACCUUAACAAGAGCCUGUGACAGUACUAAGACCCUGGGAAUGGUGAGAAGGAGGCUGGAACCAGGAGGCUGCUGUAUUUUACAGGAUACUGGAGUGCAAGUCUCAAUCAAAGGCUAGAGUUAAAAAAGACAUGCCUCUCAGAUCCCUCUACCUUUAAGCAUCUUUUUUUAAAUUAAUAAUUGGAUAUUGACCAUUAAAACCAUCACAUGUAUAGGAGUUUGUUGUCUAAAAUUUGUAUUAUAGAUAUAAUUGAAAUGUUUAGAAAUCUUUAUAAGUAAGAAAAUCAUUACUACUUGGGUCAGAAGCAAUGCAAGUCAAGCUUAGGUCUAUGGUUUUUGUUCCUGAUCAGUAACAUGUAGACGAUUUGCAUUCUCUUACCCUCUCUAAAUCUGGAAAGAUGCACUUCAUAGUGUCUCUAAUCUCACACAUUUUAACUUUCACUUUUAAUUGUUGAAAAUGUCAUUCUGAAAUCCAACAAUGAAUGAAUGAAUGUGUAUAUACUCAUCAUAUACGUGUACACACACACAAAUAAAACCUGUAUCUCAGAGCCCACAUAUCUUCUUUAAGCUGCUCUUUCAGGAAGAUUUAUGACACUCUGCUUUACAAAGAAAGUUUAAAAGAGAGAAAGAAAACGAAAUGAAACAGUGACUGUUCCCUAGUGCAAUUACUCUGUCAAAUACUCCCCUAGGGAAAGGAAUUUGCUCUUAUUGUGAAAUAAAUUAAUAUAGAAACCAGA